CACUUGGAUGAGGCGCACUAUUUUGUGAAUACUGCCAAAAUAAUGACCUUAUCCAAGGAG
ensembl:miRNA mdo-mir-7386c mdo-mir-7386c